AAUAAGCCUCAGCAAAAGCUGCCCCUGCUCCGUGUGUAAAACAGCAGUGGCUCCCAGAGGGGCAGCUCUCCACUCAGAAAGAACUCCCCCUGUGAGGCCAGUUGAUGGAGUGUUUUCUGGGCACGUUUUCUCAUUGAAUCCUGAGUAUGGCUCUGUAAGCUACUGCCAAUAGCUCUUGUUGCCACCAGCAACCUUAUCCAAAAGAGAACAUUUCCGGCCCAGCAUUCCAAGCAGGAGUCCUGAGACCCACUCUGCCUGGAUUGCAUCACAUGCCCACCUGAACUCUUAGGUGCAGUUCAAAUGGCAUUAGACUGCGCAGUGCAACCUGACCCUUGAUGGGUUCAGAACGGCUUGUCCUCCCCUCGUCAGAGGAGUGCAAUAUGCAGGGGCACUCAGGGUAUCACCGUGAUGGAGCUGGAGCCCCGGGACAGAAAAGCCUGAGCAAGCCACACAGGUCAAAUCCUGGUGGAAAGUGUUCAGGCUCCAACAACCUGUCUGCAACCUCUGCUGUCCAUAAUGGUGUGACUUCCAGCAAAGCCAGUUAAUGAAGAGAAUAGCCCUUACUCAUAAGGGCAGAGUAGGGAGCAAAUCAGAUGACAAACGUGAAGGCUUAUUGUUGACCUCAUUAAAUGUUAGUUGCUUUCUCCCCUAUUUGUGAGUGUGGCGAUUUUAUUUCAUAGCAACUUGCUAAGCUACAAUUGGGGUUCCCAGAACACCCUUUCCUGGAGGGUUCCAAGCAGGCACCAGCCCCUAGGAGACUAGGAAGGUGAAAGGGACAGCAGGCUGCGGGCGCGCCGGGAAGGUCCGUGCCGGGCUUCAGGUGCUACUGCCGCGCAUGCGUGUUGUUGAUGGCUUAGGGGGCAGUAGCUGGGCUCCUGGGAGUAGCUUCCUCCAGCACCCCUGAGUCCGGGGCCCCUGCGCAUGCACCAAUUUGGCAAAAUGCACAAGCUGCUUCUAAGGAUCACUGCAUCGUUAAGGUUGUGAGUGGUGAGAAAUAAAUACAAAUCCCAGCUUCUCCUCAAGGGUUCCGGGUUGCCCGGGUUCGAGUUUCCUCUUAAUUUCUCCCACU